UACGUAGGGGGCGAGCGUUAUCCGGAAUUACUGGGCGUAAAGCGCACGCAGGCGGUCUGCUAAGUUUGGAGUGACAGUUGGUGGCUUAACUGCCAAAGUGCUUCGAAAACUGACAGACUUGAGGGCUUCAGAGGGACACGGAAUUCCGGGUGGAGUGGUGAAAUGCGUAGAGAUCCGGAGGAACACCAAAGGCGAAGGCAGUGUCCUGGGGAGUACCUGACGCUCAGGUGUGAAAGCCAGGGGAGCGAACGGG
rnacentral:rRNA from 1 species